GGAGUUCCUGACUUUAUUGAAGAUGGAACCUUGUUUUUUCACCAGUUUUUCUGUAUACUGUUUUCUCCAUAGCUGAUGGGAGGUACAACAGUCAUGAGAGAGGCAGUGUAAACCACCUGGCCCUCUGCAUCACAGUGUGCAGGCCUGAACGUCAGAAGAGUCUCGUCUGGUAAAGCAUGAGGUGCAAAUCAAUGUGCGAAGCAGGAUAUCCACACCAGAAUGGACUUAAGCAAGGUGGGGGUCAGGCCUCGGCACGGCAAACCGAAGAAUCUGACUCUGAGCGGCCGAGGUAAAGGGGCAGGAGAGAGGAAGAUGUUUCCGAGGAGGGCAUCAUCGCGGCGGAGGUCGACGCCAGCUGACGUGUCGGUGACCAGCGAUGAAGAGGAAUGCGGUGGAUAGGGGAGCCUCCCGGUUAGGUGACGUGUUCCCGAUGAGGAUGGAUUCUGGACCCUGCCCUCUGAAAGAGCCGUCAAAUACUGCUAUGGACUUUCUGCUGUGAUUGGCACCACAAGAAAUGUUUCUCCCUGAUCGUCUGAAAAGGAAAAAAACCAAACCAUCACAUCACUCCUACAGUUCUUCAGUCCUGGCAAAGCAUUUCAUAGACUGAUACAAAGCUUGACCCAUUUGGGGCCCCUCAGUGUCUGCACAAGUGACUCCCUCUGGCAAAUCAAAGCACUUGAGAAAACGGCCAAUUUGUGGCUACAGUGCAAAAUUUACUAUUAAUCGUACUUGAUUUCAGUGCCAUUACAUCAAAUGAGACUCUUAACUUUAA